rnacentral:rRNA from 1 species
AGUAGUCAUAUGCUUGUCUCAAAGAUUAAGCCAUGCAUGUCUAAGUACAGACCGAUAUACAAGGUGAAACCGCGAAUGGCUCAUUAAAUCAGUUAUGGUUCAUUGGAUCUUACACGAGUUACUUGGAUAACCGUGGUAAUUCUAGAGCUAAUACAUGCAACUAAGCUCCGACCGCAAGGGAAGAGCGCAGUUAUUAGAUCAAAACCAAUCAGGUUCCUAGUCACCUGAUGAAGUUGUGAUGACUCUGAAUAACAUUGAGCUGAGCGCAUGGUCUUUGGACCGGCGCCGCAUCUUUCAAGUGUCUGCCUUAUCAGCUUGAUUGUAGGUUAUGUGCCUACAAUGGCUAUAACGGGUAACGGGGAAUCAGGGUUCGAUUCCGGAGAGGGAGCCUGAGAAACGGCUACCACAUCUAAGGAAGGCAGCAGGCACGCAAAUUACCCACUCCCAGUCCGGGGAGGUAGUGACGAAAUAUAACGAUGCGUGUCUCUAAUUGAGGCUUCGCAAUCGGAAUGAGUACACUCUAAAUCCUUGUACGAGGAUCAAUUGGAGGGCAAGUCUGGUGCCAGCAGCCGCGGUAAUUCCAGCUCCAAUAGCAUAUAUUAAAGUUGUUGUGGUUAAAAAGCUCGUAGUUGGAUGUCUAAUAUUGACUGAUGGUGCGCCUCUGGCGAUUACUGUCGGUUGAAAUAGCUAGUCAGCUUGCAUGCGAUGCUCUUUAUUGAGUGUCGUGCGUGGCUGGCAUGAUUACUUUGAAAAAAUUAGAGUGCUCAAAGCAGGUUAAUGCCUGAAUAUGAUGCAUGGAAUAAUGGAAUAUGACCUCGGUUCUAUUUCGUUGGUUUACUGAACCUGAGUUAAUGAUUAAAAGAGACGGACGGGGGCAUUCGUAUUGCGACGCUAGAGGUGAAAUUCUAUGACCGUCGCAAGACG